CGGGCGGAGGGGCUUGUGGGUAGCGGCGGCGCGCGGCCGGGAAGGGCCGCGGCGCGGGAGUGCGUGAGAGCCGAGCGGGCUUGAGGGGCAGAGGCGGCGGCGGCAUGGGCGCGGGCCGUCGGCGGCCGUAGCUGACCGCGCCUGGGCUCCUGCCUCCCGGGCCGAGGGCGGGGCCGUCCGGGCGGCGGCGGCGCCACUUCCCCGCUCCGCCCGCGGAGUCCUGCGGGCGCUCGCGGCGGACGGCGGACCGGCGGCGCGAGGCUGCCUGAGGGGCGGGGACGCCGUCUGCUCCUCGCCGCGCCCGGCCGCGCCGCGCCGCGCCCGGCGGACCGCGGGAGCAGCCCCGGGGCCCGGGCCGGGCGCGGAGCCCCGGAGCCGCAGCCGGAGGCGGGCGGUGGGCCCGGCGGCGCCCCGCCCGGGGCCGGCGGUUCGGGGGCGGCGCUAGGCCCAGAGGCGGCGGGACCCAAGCGCGAGGAGCCGGAGUGCGGGCCGGGCGGCGGCGGCAUGAGCCGGCCCCCGCCGACGGGGAAAAUGCCCGGCGCCCCCGAGGCCGUGCCGGGAGACGGGGCCGGCGCGGGCCGCCAGAGGAAGCUGGAGGCGCUGAUCCGAGACCCUCGCUCCCCCAUCAACGUGGAGAGCCUGCUGGAUGGCUUAAAUUCCUUGGUCCUUGAUUUGGAUUUUCCUGCUUUGAGGAAAAAUAAGAAUAUAGAUAAUUUCUUAAAUAGAUAUGAGAAAAUUGUGAAAAAAAUCAGAGGUCUACAGAUGAAAGCAGAGGAUUAUGAUGUUGUAAAAGUUAUUGGAAGAGGUGCAUUUGGGGAAGUCCAAUUGGUUCGUCAUAAGGCAUCACAGAAGGUUUAUGCUAUGAAGCUUCUUAGUAAGUUUGAAAUGAUAAAAAGAUCAGAUUCUGCUUUUUUCUGGGAAGAAAGAGAUAUUAUGGCCUUUGCCAAUAGUCCCUGGGUGGUUCAGCUCUUUUGUGCCUUUCAAGAUGAUAGAUAUCUGUACAUGGUAAUGGAGUACAUGCCUGGUGGAGACCUUGUAAACCUUAUGAGUAAUUACGAUGUACCUGAAAAAUGGGCCAAAUUUUAUACUGCUGAAGUUGUUCUUGCUCUGGAUGCAAUACACUCCAUGGGUUUAAUACACAGAGAUGUGAAGCCUGACAACAUGCUCUUGGAUAAACAUGGACAUCUAAAAUUAGCAGAUUUUGGCACGUGUAUGAAGAUGGAUGAAACAGGCAUGGUACAUUGUGAUACAGCAGUUGGAACACCUGAUUAUAUAUCACCUGAGGUUCUGAAGUCACAAGGGGGUGAUGGUUACUAUGGGCGAGAAUGUGAUUGGUGGUCUGUUGGUGUUUUCCUUUUUGAGAUGCUAGUGGGGGAUACUCCAUUUUAUGCAGAUUCACUUGUAGGAACUUAUAGCAAAAUUAUGGAUCAUAAAAAUUCACUAUGUUUCCCUGAAGAUGCAGAAAUUUCUAAACAUGCGAAGAAUCUCAUCUGUGCCUUCUUGACAGAUAGGGAGGUACGACUUGGGAGAAAUGGGGUAGAAGAAAUCAAACAGCAUCCUUUCUUUAAGAAUGAUCAGUGGAAUUGGGAUAACAUAAGAGAGACGGCAGCUCCUGUAGUACCUGAACUCAGCAGUGACAUAGACAGCAGCAAUUUUGAUGACAUCGAAGAUGAUAAAGGAGAUGUAGAAACCUUUCCAAUUCCUAAAGCUUUUGUGGGAAAUCAGCUGCCUUUCAUAGGGUUUACCUACUAUCGGGAAAAUCUGUUAUUAAGUGACUCUCCAUCUUGUAGAGAAAAUGAUUUGGUACAAUCAAGGAAAAAUGAAGAAAGUCAAGAGAUUCAGAAAAAACUAUAUACGUUAGAAGAACACCUUAACAGUGAGAUACAAGCCAAAGAGGAGCUAGAACAGAAGUACAAAUCUAUUAAUGUUCGUCUAGAGAAAACAGCAAAGGAACUAGAAGAAGAGAUUACCUUAAGGAAAAAUGUGGAAUCAGCGUUAAGACAGUUAGAAAGAGAAAAGGCACUUCUUCAGCACAAAAAUGCAGAAUAUCAGCGGAAAGCUGAUCAUGAAGCGGACAAAAAACGAAAUUUGGAAAAUGAUGUUAACAGCUUGAAAGAUCAACUUGAAGAUUUGAAAAAAAGAAAUCAGAACUCUCAAAUAUCCACCGAGAAAGUGAAUCAACUUCAGCGACAACUGGAUGAAACCAAUGCUUUGCUACGAACAGAAUCUGAUACUGCAGCUCGAUUAAGAAAAACCCAGGCAGAGAGUUCAAAACAAAUUCAGCAGCUAGAGUCUAACAAUAGAGAUCUACAAGAUAAAAACUGCCUGCUGGAAACUGCUAAGUUAAAACUUGAAAAAGACUUUAUCAAUCUUCAGUCAGCUCUAGAAUCUGAAAGAAGGGACCGGACCCAUGGAUCGGAGAUAAUUAAUGAUUUACAAGGUAGAAUAUCUGGCCUGGAAGAAGACUUAAAGAAUGGCAAAAUCUUACUAGCAAAAACAGAGCUGGAAAAGAGACAAUUGCAGGAAAAAUGUACUGAUUUGGAGAAGGAAAAGAGCAACAUGGAAAUAGAUAUGACAUACCAACUAAAAGUUAUGCAACAGAGCUUGGAACAAGAAGAGGCUGAACACAAGACUACAAAAGCACGACUAGCAGAUAAAAAUAAGAUCUAUGAAUCCAUCGAAGAAGCUAAAUCAGAAGCCAUGAAAGAAAUGGAGAAGAAGCUUUUGGAGGAAAGGACUUUAAAACAGAAAGUAGAGAACCUAUUGCUGGAGGCUGAGAAAAGAUGUUCUUUAUUGGAUUGUGACCUUAAACAAUCACAGCAGAAAUUAAAUGAGCUCCUUAAACAGAAAGAUGUGCUAAACGAGGAUGUUAGAAACUUGACAUUAAAAAUAGAGCAGGAAACUCAAAAGCGCUGUCUUACACAAAAUGACCUGAAGAUGCAAACACAGCAAGUUAACACACUAAAAAUGUCAGAAAAGCAGUUAAAACAAGAGAAUAAUCAUCUCAUGGAAAUGAAAAUGAGCUUGGAAAAACAAAAUGCUGAACUUCGGAAAGAACGUCAGGAUGCUGAUGGGCAGAUGAAAGAGCUCCAAGAUCAACUUGAAGCCGAACAGUAUUUCUCAACCCUGUAUAAAACACAAGUUAGGGAACUUAAAGAAGAAUGUGAAGAAAAGACCAAACUUUGUAAAGAAUUACAGCAGAAGAAACAGGAGUUACAGGAUGAAAGGGACUCCUUGGCUGCCCAGCUGGAGAUCACCUUGACCAAAGCAGAUUCUGAGCAGCUGGCUCGUUCAAUUGCUGAAGAACAAUAUUCAGAUUUGGAGAAAGAGAAAAUCAUGAAGGAGCUGGAGAUCAAAGAGAUGAUGGCUAGACACAAACAGGAACUUACUGAAAAAGAUGCUACGAUUGCAUCUCUUGAAGAAACUAAUAGGACACUUACUAGUGAUGUUGCCAAUCUUGCAAACGAAAAAGAAGAAUUAAAUAACAAACUGAAAGAUGCUCAAGAGCAACUAUCAAGGAUGAAAGAUGAAGAGAUAAGUGCAGCAGCUAUCAAGGCACAGUUUGAGAAACAGCUAUUAACAGAGAGAACACUCAAGACUCAAGCUGUGAAUAAGUUGGCUGAAAUCAUGAAUCGAAAAGAACCUGUCAAGCGUGGUAAUGACACAGAUGUUCGAAGAAAAGAGAAGGAGAAUAGAAAGCUACAUAUGGAGCUGAAAUCUGAACGUGAAAAACUGACCCAGCAGAUGAUCAAAUAUCAGAAAGAACUGAACGAAAUGCAGGCUCAAAUAGCUGAAGAGAGCCAGAUUCGAAUUGAACUGCAGAUGACACUGGACAGUAAAGACAGUGACAUUGAACAGCUACGAUCACAGCUCCAGGCCUUGCAUAUUGGUCUGGAUAGUUCCAGCAUAGGCAGUGGACCAGGGGAGGCUGAGGCAGAUGAUGGAUUUCCAGUUCAUAUCACUCAGUCACAUACUAUGGAAUCCAUGUCAUUCACCUACCAGCGUUCCUCUACUUCUCUCAAUAUUGCCACUAAGCCUUCCAGUUCUCACAUGCUCCUUGACUCUGAUUCUGACUCAGAAGAAGAAUCUUUGCCUUACUUACCCAUAUCAUCGGAACCUAAUGGUACAGAAUCAAGGUUAGAAGGAUGGCUUUCGUUGCCUGUGCGAAACAACACUAAGAAAUUUGGAUGGGUUAAGAAGUAUGUGAUUGUAAGCAGUAAGAAGAUUCUUUUCUAUGACAGUGAACAAGAUAAAGAACAAUCUAAUCCUUACAUGGUUUUAGAUAUAGACAAGUUAUUUCAUGUCCGACCAGUUACACAGACAGAUGUAUACAGAGCCGAUGCUAAAGAAAUUCCAAGAAUAUUCCAGAUUCUGUAUGCCAAUGAAGGAGAAAGUAAAAAGGAACAAGAAUUUCCAGUGGAGCCAGUGGGAGAAAAAUCUAAUUAUAUUUGUCACAAAGGGCAUGAAUUUAUUCCUACUCUUUAUCAUUUCCCAACCAACUGCGAGGCUUGUAUGAAGCCCUUGUGGCACAUGUUUAAGCCCCCUCCUGCUUUAGAGUGUCGCCGCUGCCAUAUUAAAUGUCAUAAAGAUCACAUGGACAAAAAGGAGGAAAUUAUAGCACCUUGCAAAGUUUAUUACGAUAUAUCCACGGCAAAGAAUCUAUUGUUAUUAGCAAAUUCCACAGAAGAGCAGCAGAAGUGGGUUAGUCGAUUGGUGAAAAAGAUACCUAAAAAGCCCCCUGCUCCAGACCCUUUUGCACGGUCAUCUCCUAGAACUUCAAUGAAGAUUCCACAAAACCAGUCUAUCAGACGGCCAAGUCGACAGCUUGCCCCAAACAAACCAAGGACCUUCAGUAUAUGAAUAAUGAUGAUUGGCUGUAUUAUCAGAAAUCUUACUCUAACCACAAACAACUUUUUUGAAACUAAUAUCUCAAGGAAAUAAUUUAGAAUGACAGAGGUAGAAUUGAUGUGUCAGCAGUGAAAAUGUUGAAUAUUUUGUGUGAGAUUGCUUGAUUUGGCAUUUAAAGACUGGGAUUGGUCAUUUGAUGAUGUUGAUGAUGGUGAUGAUGAUGACGAUGUUUUUGAUUUCUGAAGAAAUAAAUGGGCUAACUGCCUUCUAUGAAAGCAGUCAUUCAAGGUGAUCAUAUUCUUCCAGUUAAAACAAGACUGAAAGAUGAUGACCCAAAAUUUAUUAAAAAGCUAUAUUUUCCUGAGAGACUGAUGUAUACACAUACAUAUAUGUGUUUCCUUUUUCCUGUAGUAUAAAUGACAAGUCUUGGAGAGGUUUUCUGGGCUCCUUUCAAACAACAAGUUGAACCAACAACAAUUGGUUAGUAGAAAAAGAAUAUCAUUUGCAACUCUCCCAAAUUUGUUUCAUAAAGCUCUCUUGGCAGUCACUCACACUACAUUGCACAGAAGAAUUGAGAAGAGUUAAAUUUUGAAGAAAUCAUCUUUUCAGCUUCAACAGAGAGAUUUCACCAGCACAUUUGCCAGAAGAACCUGGAAAUGGAUUCCACUACAGUGAUAUUGACUGCAUCUUUAAGAUGUGACCAUGAUACUGUGUGUGUAUAUGUGCACACACACAUAUAGUACUGUAAUACUGCAAGAGGGUUUUUUAAACUCCCCAUUUUAUUUUUUUAUACACAUUAAUCAGAUAUCAUUACUUCAGUUGCAACUAUGCACUUGUAUAAAGCCAUAAUGUGGAGUUUAUUCACUUACCCCUGCACCUAAUGGAAGCUGCAUGUUCAUGUUUAAGCAAUUGCUGUAACAAGAAGUUUGAAGUUAAUUAUAUCAGUUUCCUAACACUUCAUGAUAGACAACUUUAUCUAUUUUGAAUGCCUUAAUUUAAUUUUUUUUUCAAAGUCUCAACCCUUUUCUGUAUUUAAGAAAAAAAGAACAAGUGUUUACCAGCUCUUAGGAUGCAAACUUGCUUAGGGUUAAAAAAAAAAAAUAGUGCACUAUUUUUACACUAGUAGUUCUAUCAGUGUCAGCCUAUUUUGAUUGUAUAACAAAAUUUUUUUAAUGUAUUGGUCAUAGAAACAAUAAUGGAUAGUAUUGGAACUAAUAUAUCUUUGAUGUAUAUCUUUAUUCAUCCAUCCCUUCCUAUAGACCUAUUAGUCUGUGACCACAAAAUGUUUUCUUUGCUUUGAACUUACUGGCCACCCUAGAUGUGUUUUAUUUCUGGUAAAGACAUUUGUGACUAUUUUUACAUUUUCACACUCAAGAUUUAAAAAUUAUCUCAAGUAUAAAGAAAACUAGGAUAUACUGUAGAUAUAUUUUAAAUAUUUAAAUGUGAUCCUCAAACACACAACUGUGUAUGGUAGAAUCUCAGUAUUGGGUUAAGAAAAUCAGUGACUGGGGGAAGCAGCCUCAAAGGCACUUGAUUUAAUUUUCAUUUUUAAAAUGUUCUCAAGGCUGAAAUUUAUGCAGGACCAUUCCUGCUGUGUUUCUCAUUAUCCCAGAUAAGUAUGUUUUGUACUGCGACAGUAUACAGCAAUGGUAAGCAUCAAGUUUUUUAAAAAUUACAGUCUUAUCAGUCUCUCCUAUGUACAUACACAGAGUUUGGUAUGAUCGAAAUGCAUCAUCCAGUAUUUCAAUGAAGGAAGUAGACAUUUCUCAUUGCUUCCCUCUGGGGUUAAUGCAGAGAUGUUGGAGAGCCCAGUCCCCAUUAUGGAUACCUUUAUGGACGUUACAGGGUGCACUUUGGCCUACUGAUAUUCUGAGCUGCGUUCUGCUCUUCUCAUGCUGUCUGUGCUCUUCCCUGCUUCUGUGCGAAGACUAGACGUGCUGCCACUUCCUUGCAGGUGCGUCCUGCAGUGCUGGCUGGGACACGGCUUGCUUUUUUUUUUUUUAAGUAAGAUUAAAAAUGAAAAAUAUAUAAAAUUUAUAUAGAAUAAAUAUUUCCAUUGAUUAGAGUUGUUAAAAGGAGACUGAAUUAAUAUUUUAUAUAAAGAUUUUGUUACACUAUGGGAGGUUCUAUCCUAUUAUUCUGAAUUGGAGAGUAUAUAUAUAUAUAUAUAUAUUUUUAAUAAACUUUAUUAAGGUGAAAUAAUUUCAAGUUUACACGAGUAAUUGAAGUAUUUGAGUAAAAAGCAAAAGUUUGAAUUUUGAAUGCUGUAAGUGUGUAUGUAUAUACAUAUGCAUAUGUAUAUAUAUAUGAACAGGGAGAAUCAUGGUGUGAUACAACUGUACAAGAAAAAUUAAUGUGAAGUAUUUAGGAGAAAAGAUUUUCUGAGGGGUAAGAAAAAAAUCUCUCCCAUGGAGAUUCUUCACAUUAUAUGGUUUGAUAAAAAGAUUUAUAAGGUUGUUUGUCCAACUAACGGAAAUGUGCUUAAUAAAAAAUUCUGACCUUGG